AUUGAACGCUGGCGGCAUGCUUUACACAUGCAAGUCGAACGGUAGAGGGGGCAACCCCUUGAGAGUGGCGAACGGGUGAGUAAUGCAUCGGAACGUGCCCAGUCGUGGGGGAUAACGCAGCGAAAGCUGUGCUAAUACCGCAUACGAUCUCUGGAUGAAAGCGGGGGACCGAAAGGCCUUGCGCGAUUGGAGCGGCCGAUGUCAGAUUAGGUAGUUGGUGGGGUAAAGGCUCACCAAGCCAACGAUCUGUAGCUGGUCUGAGAGGACGACCAGCCACACUGGGACUAGGACACGGCCCAGACUCCUACGGGAGGCAGCAGUGGGGAAUUUUGGACAAUGGGCGCAAGCCUGAUCCAGCAAUGCCGCGUGCAGGAAGAAGGCCUUCGGGUUGUAAACUGCCUUUGUACGGAACGAAAAGGUCUGGGUUAAUACCCUGGGCACAUGACGGUACCGUAAGAAUAAGCACCGGCUAACUACGUGCCAGCCGCCGCGGUAA
rnacentral:rRNA from 1 species